CCUACGGGAGGCAGCAGUGGGGAAUAUUGGGCAAUGGAGGAAACUCUGACCCAGCAACGCCGCGUGAAGGAUGAAGGUUUUCGGAUUGUAAACUUCUGUCGCGAGGGAUGAAGAAUGACGGUACCUCGUACGAAAGCCCCGGCAAACUACGUGCCCGCAGCCGCGGUAAUACGUAGGGGGCGAGCGUUGUCCGGAAUGACUGGGCGUAAAGGGAGUGUAGGCGGCAUAUUAAGUUAUGUGUGAAAGGCCGCGGCUCAACCGCGGAAUUGCACAGAAAACUGGUAAGCUUGAGUGCAGGAGAGGUAAGUGGAAUUCCCGGUGUAGCGGUGGAAUGCGUAGAUAUCGGGAGGAACACCAGAGGCGAAGGCGACUUACUGGACUGUAACUGACGCUGAGGCUCGAAAGCGUGGGGAGCAAACAGGAUUAGAUACCCCAGUAGUC
rnacentral:rRNA from 1 species